CCUACGGGUGGCUGCAGUCGAGAAUCUUCGGCAAUGGGCGCAAGCCUGACCGAGCGACGCCGCGUGCGGGAUGAAGGCCUUCGGGUUGUAAACCGCUGUCGUAGGGGAUCAAGCAACGGGGGUUCUCCCCCGGAGUUGAGUGAACCUAGGAGGAAGGGCCGGCUAAUCUCGUGCCAGCAGCCGCGGUAAUACGAGAGGCCCAAACGUUAUUCGGAAUUACUGGGCUUAAAGAGUCCGUAGGCGGCGCGGAAAGUAGGGUGUGAAAGCCCUCGGCUUAACCGAGGAAUUGCGCUCUAAACUACCGUGCUUGAGGAACCUAGAGGUGAGCGGAACUGAUGGUGGAGCGGUGAAAUGCGUUGAUAUCAUCAGGAACACCGGAGGCGAAGGCGGCUCACUGGGGGUUUACUGACGCUGAGGGACGAAAGCCAGGGGAGCAAACG
rnacentral:rRNA from 1 species